rnacentral:rRNA from 1 species
UACGUAGGCAGCGAGCGUUGUUCGGAGUUACUGGGCGUAAAGGGUGUGUAGGCGGUUGUUUAAGUUUGGUGUGAAAUCUCCCGGCUCAACUGGGAGGGUGCGCCGAAUACUGAAUGACUUGGAGUGCGGGAGAGGUGAGUGGAAUUCCUGGUGUAGCGGUGAAAUGCGUAGAUAUCAGGAGGAACACCGGUGGUGCAGACGGCUCACUGGACCGUAACUGACGCUGAGACACGAAAGCGUGGGUAGCAAACAGG